rnacentral:rRNA from 1 species
CAGUCGCCGCGGUAAUACGAAGGGGGCUAGCGUUGUUCGGAAUUACUGGGCGUAAAGGGCGCGUAGGCGGCCGAUCAAGUCAGGCGUGAAAGCCCCGGGCUUAACCUGGGAAUUGCGUUUGGGACUGGUUGGCUUGAGUUCGGGAGAGGAGAGUGGAAUUCCCAGUGUAGAGGUGAAAUUCGUAGAUAUUGGGAAGAACACCGGUGGCGAAGGCGGCUCUCUGGACCGAUACUGACGCUGAGGCGCGAAAGCGUGGGGAGCAAACAGGAUUUGAUACCCCCGUAGUCCCUGUCUCUUAUAC